GAUGAACGCUGGCGGCGUGCCUAAUACAUGCAAGUCGAGCGAACAGACGAGAGUGCUUGCACUCUCUGACGUUAGCGGCGGACGGGUGAGUAACACGUGGGUAACCUACCUAUAAGACUGGGAUAACUUCGGGAAACCGGAGCUAAUACCGGAUAAUAUUUAGCUUCGCAUGAAGCAAUAGUGAAAGACGGUUCUGCUGUCACUUAUAGAUGGACCCGCGGUGUAUUAGCUAGUUGGUAAGGUAACGGCUCACCAAGGCAACGAUACAUAGCCGACCUGAGAGGGUGAUCGGCCACACUGGGACUGAGACACGGCCCAGACUCCUACGGGAGGCAGCAGUAGGGAAUCUUCCGCAAUGGACGAAAGUCUGACGGAGCAAUGCCGCGUGAGUGAAGAAGGUUUUCGGAUCGUAAAACUCUGUUGUAAGGGAAGAACAAGUACGUUAGUAACUGAACGUACCUUGACGGUACCUUACCAGAAAGCCACGGCUAACUACGUG
rnacentral:rRNA from 1 species